UGUAUAGCAGUGACGACAACACUAUCAGAAGAUACUCUAAAAGCAGCGGAGCCAUCACUCAUCAGAAAGGAGAUAAGCGAUAUUUCACUUGAAGAUAUCCUCAAUGGUGGCUCUGGUAGCCAUAGUAUGUAGUUCACCAACAUGUUAAGAACUUCCCUUUUCAUGUACCAUUGACAAAUGUAGAAUACUGAGGCUCUUUUUUUUUAAUGGAAAAACUUGCGAGUAAGCUCUUUUUUGUAAUGAUUCUAUAAUUUGUUGAAGGAUAUCCGGUUCUCUGCUCCCUUAAGCUGUAUGUUUUAGCUGCUAACUAUUGUCUUUUACUUAGUUGAUGGAAAUUUGCUAGUUCUAGUGUUUCUCUAACAUAUCAUAUGUAGUUAAUAGUGGCUCCCUUUCUAUGCUUACUAUAAAAAGAAUCUAAUGAUGAAAAACAAUGCAGAUGUGAUGGUGCAGGAAUCUCAAUCCAUUAAUGAUCUAGCUCUCUCUUCCCCUGAAUCCAAUAUGACAGGGAGUAUCACAGAGCUGGAUAAUUAUGUAGCAAGUGGUGCCAUAUCCUCGAUGGGAGGGUAAGAGCGAAUCAAUAUAUUGAUCAUCUGCAUCAUCAUGACCGCUUUUGAUAUCUAAUACCUCAAAUUGCUGUAUGCAUUUGUAGAUUCAUCUUUUUUUCCCUUCUCUUUCUCGUUCCCUCUUUGUCCAUCUGAAAUUAUUUUCUUAAACUUUACCUGGAUUAAGUUGAAUUGCUAAGAACGGUGCAUACUGGUGAUUUACAUCCUUAUCAAUCUAUUUUAUGUCAUGAUGUAUAAUCACUAAGUUACAUGCUUUCACUUGAAGCAGCGGAGCCAUCACUCAUCAGAAAGGAGAUAAGCGAUAUUUCACUUGAAGAUAUCCUCAAUGGUGGCUCUGGUAGCCAUAGUAUGUAGUUCACCAACAUGUUAAGAACUUCCCUUUUCAUGUACCAUUGACAAAUGUAGAAUACUGAGGCUCUUUUUUUUUAAUGGAAAAACUUGCGAGUAAGCUCUUUUUUGUAAUGAUUCUAUAAUUUGUUGAAGGAUAUCCGGUUCUCUGCUCCCUUAAGCUGUAUGUUUUAGCUGCUAACUAUUGUCU
rnacentral:lncRNA from 1 species